AGGUGAGUAGCUCAAUUGGUAGAGCACUGGUCUCCAAAACCAGGGGUUGCGGGUUCGAUUCCUGCCUCACCUGCGA
rnacentral:tRNA from 1 species